rnacentral:misc_RNA from 1 species
GAUGAAGAACGCAGCGAAAUGCGAUAAGUAAUGUGAAUUGCAGAAUUCAGUGAAUCAUCGAAUCUUUGAACGCACAUUGCGCCCGCUAGUAUUCUGGCGGGCAUGCCUGUUCGAGCGUCAUUUCAACCAUCAAGCCCUGUUUAGGCUUGUGUUGGGGCCCUGCGGUUGCCGCAGCCCCCUAAAUGCAGUGGCGGGCUCGUUGUCACUCCGAGCGCAGUAGCGUAUCUCGCUCUGGGCGUGGCGGCGGGUGCUAGCCGUGAAACACCCACUAAGAUUGACCUCGGAUCAGGUAGGAAUACCCGCUGAACUUAAGCAUAUCAAUAAGCGGAGGA